GGGAAGUCUACCUAAUGGGCUGGAAUUUGGACUUCAAGCACAUUCUCUUUGGAAUCGUUGGCUCCAACUUUCAAAGAAGCUCUCUCACUGCAGACUUUUAAGUUUUAGCAGGACAAUCAGGACUGUGUCCAGUACCCCAGAAGAGGCCUCACCAAUGUCCUGUACAACCUCAAUAUGAUGUCCCAACUCCG